rnacentral:rRNA from 1 species
UAGGGAAUCUUCGGCAAUGGGGGCAACCCUGACCGAGCAACGCCGCGUGAGUGAAGAAGGUUUUCGGAUCGUAAAGCUCUGUUGUAAGAGAAGAACGUGUGUGAGAGUGGAAAGUUCACACAGUGACGGUAACUUACCAGAAAGGGACGGCUAACUACGUGCCAGCAGCCGCGGUAAUACGUAGGUCCCGAGCGUUGUCCGGAUUUAUUGGGCGUAAAGCGAGCGCAGGCGGUUUAAUAAGUCUGAAGUUAAAGGCAGUGGCUUAACCAUUGUUCGCUUUGGAAACUGUUAAACUUGAGUGCAGAAGGGGAGAGUGGAAUUCCAUGUGUAGCGGUAAAAUGCGUAGAUAUAUGGAGGAACACCGGUGGCGAAAGCGGCUCUCUGGUCUGUAACUGACGCUGAGGCUCGAAAGCGUGGGGAGCAAACAGG